CACCGGGUCCUGGUAGAUGCUCAGGCAGAUGGAGCACAGCAGCUCGUCCUUCAGGCUGCAAGCCAUGGCCGCCCGGGGGAGGCGAGGCCGCCCGGGGGACCCGGGGGAAUUCAGGUCUUGUCUCCCCUCCAGGACCCGCUGGGGACUGAAGAAAUGCUGAAAUUAAAUCAUCAAAGCGCUGUCGGAGCGGGGAAGGGGCGGCUCGGCCGGCAGCGCGCCCGGCUCGCGCGCCCGCUUCGCCCCAGCCUGCGGCACGUGGCGGGGAAGAAGUACCCGGGCUACCCGGGCACGCAGCCCUGCCUUUGUGCCAGGGGGCUGGGAACGUCUCUUCGCAUCCCCAAGUCCCCCUAGGAACCAAUAUCUGAUUUUUUCCAUGGUUUAAGUAAACCCUGCUCAGCUGAGGUCAAAA